CCCCAAAGUGCCACAGUGCCACUCGAUCGAACCGUUCCCUCGGUCAAAGCCCAACCCCUCGCUCUCGCGCAGCUCCUCUGCUCUUGCAACCCUAGCAAGCCACCACCCCGUCGCCGUCCGGCCGCCGCGCCGCCGUGAGUCUCCGCCGCCGCCGCCCCUCGCAUCUCCGCUCGUCCCGCAGGUAUCCUUCCAUCGCCGCCAGAAGUCCGCAUAGAGUCAUCUCCUGCCUCUGCCGCCACCCCCUUCCGUUGGUCGCCGUCGGCAGCCGCACGGACUACUCCUGGACAGGACUGCAGAUCCUCGCGCCAGAGAAUCCCUUCCCCCAGCUCAAGAUCCUUGUCGCCCAUGAGUGAUGGACGCUGUAUGGUUAUGCAGUGCUGCUGGUGUGAAGGUUAUUACCCUUUAUGGUUUAUUUUUCUUUGAUCAUAUCUUCUUUCCAUCUAUAUCUACUUCAAAUAUUCUUUCCAUGGAAUCUCAACCGAUUGGGUUUGUAAUAGGAGGUUUGGAUCAUGCAGUUUGCAGAUAUUCAAUUAUAAAAUAUUUGUGGUUCAUCAGUUCCUUUUGUGCAUGUUGUGAAGAAUGUGUCAUAUGAGCCAAGAUUCAAACGCUUCUGGAUGUGAAUUUGACAAAACGGAUCAUCUUAGGAUGAGUGUCCUGAAGAAUCGGAAGAUGCUGCAAAACAUGAUGAUGUGAUACUGCCAUGCUAUUUCUACCGGUCUCUCUGCUAGUGCCUUAUCGCUCGUUCACCAAUCUCCAUCCUCACCAUGGUCUCUGUACUCAACAAGGGUGAACUCUACAAGUUCUAGUAGGCUCCUCGGUGACUCCUCACAGGAGAGCUUUUGGCCUGAUCUGAUGGAGCUGAGAGGUCAAAGGAAGAAGUCAAACCUGAAGAAGUGCAGGGAGGAAAUUACAGCUGCGUGUGUCCGGCUGGUUCAGGGGAUGUGCAGGGCGGCCGUAGCCAUGCGGGUGUCGAGGCAGGCGAUCUCGCGGAUGGAUGCCAUGCUGCGAGGGUAGGUUCCUGGGCGCCCGCUACGUUGAUGACGGAUUCCACGCUGCGAGCGGCAACAAUCGGCGACAAUCGGCGAUGGCGAUCGUGCAGGGAGGCGACGGUGUUGGUGGGCGGCAUCUGGUGCGGUGGUGACUCAAGGCAGACAAACGUCGAGGUCAAGGGCGAGGGAGCAGAUUUGAUUGAGUUUCCUUAGUUUGCGAUUUGAUUGCGUGAUUGUAGGGAAACACGGGAGGGAGCAGAUUUGGUUGUGUUUCCUUAGUUUGCGAUCUGAUUGCGUGAUUGCAGGGAAACAUGGGAUUGGUUGUUGGAAUACUCCUCUGGUGGUGGAGUACGGUCAGUCAUUAGAAAUUGCUAAGUACACACCAUCCCGCUAUUAGAUAAAUGAUGGCCGUUAGAUUGAAAUUUGUGGGACUAAUCGUGUGGUUCUGACUGGGUUGUGCGGUGUUGUGGGGGCUAAUAGUGGGGUGCGUGUAAGAAAGUUUUUGUUCGAUUGUUCAAUAGUAGUGGAGAAGUGGAGAUAAUCGUGUGGUUCUGACUGGGUUGUGCGGUGUUGUGGGGGCUAAUAGUAGGGUGCGU
rnacentral:rRNA from 1 species